rnacentral:rRNA from 1 species
UACGGAGGGUGCAAGCGUUGUCCGGAUUUAUUGGGUUUAAAGGGUGCGUAGGCGGCCCGUUAAGUCAGUGGUGAAAUCCCCGGGCUCAACCCUGGAACUGCCUUCGAUACUGGCGAUCUUCGAGUCCGGGAGAGGUGAGUGGAACUCCGAGUGUAGAGGUGAAAUUCGUAGAUAUUCGGAAGAACACCAGUGGCGAAGGCGGCUCACUGGCCCGGUACUGACGCUGAGGUGCGAAAGCGUGGGGAGCAAACAGG